GAUGUCUUUAAUUUCCUACAGCACAUAAAAGCUUUUGAAAUGUGUCCUUUCCUUUCUUUUGCAACAGAAGCUCUACUUUCCGGUGAGGACUAUUUGUGGGGCAGAUAUCCUCCUCACAGAAGAAGGGUAGUCCGAGGAUUUAGAAUCCUUCUGGAUUCCUCCGCUAAGGGGGAAGGGGCCAGUUCUGACCGCUAUACACUGGACAUUUCAUCUGUUUAUUCCACAAAAUAGAUGUUACUCAUGAAAUGAGAUGCCCGGCCUUCCCCUCACGACGCAGCAGAGCAGAAAAUGGCGGUGGAGCUAAUGUCUCCAGGUUAUUUCCCUAGAGCCCUGGGUAUGUCAUAUCUGUUCUCAUUCAGGUAGCGGCUGCUUCCAGGAUCUGCCCUGCUCCUCAGCCCCUGGCCUGAGGAUGCUCCCGGGCACUGCUCACGGACCAGACAACCAACCGGCAGAUGUGAGAGCUGCAAGGGGCUUCGUGACCUCAUCUGGGACCAUCCCUCUCUGAGCUGCUGUGCAAAGUCAGGAGGUUCUGGAGGCCAGCACUGCCUGUAGCCACCGGAAGAGCCAGAGGGCCAUAGCCCAGAGCUGGCACACUCCCUGCCCGGGAGCGCUGCUUCUCCAGCUGACUCACGACGCUUUGCACCUGUACCUGCAUCUUGGCUGCUGGAGCCUGCACUCAUUUCUGAUUCUGCUCCAGGUUUGGAGCACCCUUCCUCUGCUCCCUCGUCUGCUGGAUUAGCUCCCAGCUCUCUGCAAACAACCGUCCUGACAACUCCGGCUCCAGUUUCUUCUUUUUGAAAACUGGUAACGGGGAAACACUGGGGGCAGAGGACUCCAACUCCAACCCCGCUGAUCCCGUGAACGGUUCCAUUUACGCCCAGCUCAGUUAUUAGCAAUCGCUUUUCAGGGACAAGGCUGGGACCAAGCCUCCUGGUAACUGUAUUAACAGCUGCCACACUAAGGAACAACUGGUAAAGGCAGCUUUAAUACCCUAAAAGCCAGGACCCCCAAAGAUAAUGCCACUGACUUUAUCUGACAUUUCAAAGCGGGUGAACUUACUCAUUAGCAAUCACAAGUUUUACAGUUCAGAUUUUUUUUGCUAGUAAACCUGUUAUCAUUUUAAGGGCAUCAGGUAUUACAGUGAAACUCCUAAAUUUGCCCAGAAUCAUAAUGCUUUUGCCAUUAUAUUCAUGGCUCAUGUUUUAACUCCUUGCAUAUCCUAACAAGCUGUAUUGUAACAGGGUAGUGCUAUAUUUGAAAAGUGACUUCACUUAGCCCAGAGAUAUAGAAAGACACUGACUUAAUGGGGGAAAUCCUGGUUUUUCCUUCUGUCUCUGCUUAAUUUGGGCUUGUCAUUUCAAAAGGAUAAGAUCUGCUAGGAUGAUGUCAGAAUCAUUGUCUGCAUGGACCUGGUUAUUCCUGGAUUUUCACCAUGGAGUCAGACUUCCCAAAUGUCAAAAUGAAUUUGACCAUGGCCUUGGCUGUUCCCUUGUCUUUGUCAUAACAACCAGUAAAUGCGUGUCAGCCCCU